rnacentral:rRNA from 1 species
GACGAACGCUGGCGGCGUGCCUAAUACAUGCAAGUCGAACGCAGUGGGGACGGGUGAGUAACACGUGGGUAGGCUCCCAUCAGGGGGGAUAACCCUUUGAAACAGGUGCUAUAGCGGAAUUGCUGGAUGGACCGGCGGUGCAUUAGCUAGUUGGCGGGGUAACGGCUCACCAAGGCCACGAUGCAUCGCCGAUCUGAGAGGGUGAUCGGCCACACUGGGACUGAGACACGGCCCAGACUCCUACGGGAGGCAGCAGUAGGGAAUCUUCGGCAAUGGACGAAAGUCUGACCGAGCAACGCCGCGUGAGUGAAGAAGGUUUUCGGAUCGUAAAACUCUGUUGUUAGAGAAGCGGUAUCUAACCAGAAAGCCACGGCUAACUACGUGCCAGCAGCCGCGGUAAUUC